CGGGGACAACAUUCCGAAAGGGAUGCUAAUACCGGAUGUGACGCUCCUAUCGCAUGACGGGAGCGUGAAAGAUGGCCUCUACAUGUAAGCUAUCGCUAAAGGAUGGGCCUGCGUCUGAUUAGCUAGUUGGUAGUGUAACGGACAACCAAGGCGAUGAUCAGUAGCCGGUCUGAGAGGAUGAACGGCCACAUUGGGACUGAGACACGGCCCAG
rnacentral:rRNA from 1 species